CACGGGGGGCGCAAGCGUUAUUCGGAAUUAUUGGGCGUAAAGGGCGCGUAGGCGGUUCUGUCGGUCAGAUGUGAAAGCCCGGGGCUCAACCCUGGAAGUGCAUUUGAAACAGCAGAACUUGAGUACGGGAGAGGAAAGCGGAAUUCCUGGUGUAGAGGUGAAAUUCGUAGAUAUCAGGAGGAACACCGAUGGCGAAGGCAGCUUUCUGGACCGAUACUGACGCUGAGGCGCGAAGGCGUGGGUAGCGAACGGGAUUAGAUACCCCGGUAGUCCACGCAGUAAACGAUGUUCACUAGGUGUAGCGGGUAUUAAAACCUGCUGUGCCGCAGCCAACGCAUUAAGUGAACCGCCUGGGAAGUACGGUCGCAAGACUAAA
rnacentral:rRNA from 1 species